GAACUGAAGAGUUUGAUCCUGGCUCAGAUUGAACGCUGGCGGCAUGCCUUACACAUGCAAGUCGAACGGUAACGCGGGGCAACCUGGCGACGAGUGGCGAACGGGUGAGUAAUGCAUCGGAACGUGCCCAGUAGUGGGGGAUAGCCCGGCGAAAGCCGGAUUAAUACCGCAUACGACCUACGGGUGAAAGCGGGGGACCGCAAGGCCUCGCGCUAUUGGAGCGGCCGAUGUCAGAUUAGCUAGUUGGUGGGGUAAAGGCCUACCAAGGCGACGAUCUGUAGCUGGUCUGAGAGGACGACCAGCCACACUGGGACUGAGACACGGCCCAGACUCCUACGGGAGGCAGCAGUGGGGAACUUUGGACAAUGGGCGCAACCCUGAUCCAGCCAUUCCGCGUGAGUGAA
rnacentral:rRNA from 1 species